rnacentral:rRNA from 1 species
UUCCGGUUGAUCCCGCCGGAGGUCAUUGCUAUCGGGGUCCGAUUUAGCCAUGCUAGUUGUACGAUUACGUAGCGAAAAGCUCCGUAACACGUGGCCAAACUACCCUCUGGAGGACGAUACUCUCGGGAAACUGAGGCUAAUCGUCCAUACACCACUCGCGUUGGAAUACUGAGUGGGGGAAACGCUCCGGCGCCAGAGGAUGUGGCUGCGGCUGAUUAGGUAGACGGUGGGGUAACGGCCCACCGUGCCGAUAAUCAGUGCGGGUUGUGAGAGCAAGAGCCCGGAGACGGAAUCUGAGACAAGAUUCCGGGCCCUACGGGGCGCAGCAGGCGCGAAACCUUUACACUGCACGCCAGUGCGAUAAGGGGACCCCGAGUGCGAGGGCAUACUAGCCCUCGCUUUUCUGUACCGUAGGGAGGUACAGGAACAAGAGCUGGGCAAGACCGGUGCCAGCCGCCGCGGUAAUACCGGCAGCUCGAGUGAUGACCGAUAUUAUUGGGCCUAAAGCGUCCGUAGCUGGCCGGGCAAGUCCGUCGGGAAAUCCAACGGCUCAACCGUUGGGCGUCCGGCGGAAACUGCCCGGCUUGGGACCGGAAGGCUCUGAGGGUACGUCCGGGGUAGGAGUGAAAUCCUGUAAUCCUGGACGGACCACCGAUGGCGAAAGCACUCAGAGAGGACGGAUCCGACAGUGAGGGACGAAAGCUGGGGUCUCGAACCGGAUUAGAUACCCGGGUAGUCCCAGCCGUAAACGAUGCCAGUUAGGUGUGGCAGAGGCUACGAGCCUCUGCUGUGCCGUAGGGAAGCCGAGAAACUGGCCGCCUGGGAAGUACGUCCGCAAGGAUGAAACUUAAAGGAAUUGGCGGGGGAGCACUACAACCGGAGGAGCCUGCGGUUUAAUUGGAUUCAACGCCGGG